UGGAGGCAGCAGUGGGGAAUAUUGCACAAUGGGCGAAAGCCUGAUGCAGCGACGCCGCGUGAGGGAUGACGGCCUUCGGGUUGUAAACCUCUUUCAGCAGGGACGAAGCGAAAGUGACGGUACCUGCAGAAGAAGCACCGGCCAACUACGUGCCAGCAGCCGCGGUAAUACGUAGGGUGCAAGCGUUGUCCGGAAUUAUUGGGCGUAAAGAGCUCGUAGGCGGCUUGUUGCGUCGGCUGUGAAAACCUGGGGCUCAACCCCGGGCCUGCAGCCGAUACGGGCAAGCUAGAAUUCGGUAGGGGAGACUGGAAUUCCUGGUGUAGCGGUGAAAUGCGCAGAUAUCAGGAGGAACCCCGGUGGCGAAGGCGGGUCUCUGGGCCGACAUUGACGCUGAGGAGCGAAAGCGUGGGGAGCGAACAGGAUUAGAUACCCUAGUAGUCGG
rnacentral:rRNA from 1 species